CUCCUAUUUGCGUAGCAGCAGAAGCAACGAUGCCAGAGCACUGUGGAGCAUACUCCUGCUCAUAUCCGCGGACCAUCGAAAGCAGGGCUCGGGGGAUUACUUUUCACAAGUUCAGCCAAGAUCACUUGGAGCUCCUAUUUAAUUCAAUCAGAGCAUCAGGUGCUGAGUGCUGCAGAGAGGGUGAUCCGCCAAGCUUCACCAAUGCCAGCUCCUAAGGUGUCGACAAUCACAGACAUCGUCCGGGAGGAGAUUGGAACGGAGGAUGUUUUUCUGCUUGGGGAACACAUUGAGGAGACUCAGUUUGGCAUCGACAACCAUCAUUCUGACUUGUUGUCAUUGGUUGUGUCUGUGUUUCUCAAAAUAAGGCUGCACCACAUUACCAAACUCACCUCUCUUGAACUGCAGAAAGGGAGCACGAGGAAGAACUGUCCUUUUUCAGGGGUUUUAGAGCGUGUGGUUCCACGACAAUUCAAGCAUCCCAAAACUAAUUCUAAGCUUUAUCUGUACUUUAACCUUACUCAUCACACAUAGUAUCUUUAUGUCAUAUCUGUCAUCAUUCUGACAAGAUUAACACUGAAUCUGAAAGCAAUGGCUUAAAACUGCCUGAAAACAGUGGUCUGUCACAUUUUAUGUGAAUACUGCUGUAAGUGUUGUUGGGUC
ensembl:lncRNA